UUCAUAGCGGAGGAAAGAAACACAGGGAUUACUCAGUAACGGCGAGGGAGCGGUAGAGCUCAAAUUGAAAGCUGCUCUUCGGGGUCCGCAUUGUAUUUGCAGAGGAUGUUCGGGAGCAGCCCCCAUCUAAGUGUCCUGGAACGGACCGUCAUAGAGGGUGAGAAUCCCGUAUGGGAUGGGGUGUCUGCGCCCAUGUGAAACUCCUUCGACGAGUCGAGUUGUUUGGGAAUGCAGCUCUAAAUGGGUGGUAAAUUUCAUCUAAAGCUAAAUAUUGGCCGGAGACCGAUAGCGCACAAGUAGAGUGAUCGAAAGAUGAAAAGCACUUUGAAAAGAGAGUUAAAAAGCACGUGAAAUUGUUGAAAGGGAAGCGCUUGCGAUCAGACUCGCCUUGGGGGUUCAGCCGGCAUUCGUGCCGGUGUACUUCCCCCAGGGCGGGCCAGCGUCGGUUUGGGUGGCCGGUCAAAGGCCCUUGGAAUGUAACGCCUCUCGGGGCGUCUUAUAGCCAAGGGUGCCAUGCGGCCUACCUGGACCGAGGAACGCGCUUCGGCUCGGACGCUGGCAUAAUGGUCGUAAGCGACCCGUCUUGAAACACGGACCAAGGAGUCUAACAUCUACGCGAGUGUUCGGGUGUCAAACCCGUGCGCGCAGUGAAAGCGAACGGAGGUGGGAACCCUUUGGGUGCACCAUCGACCGAUCCUGAUGUCUUCGGAUGGAUUUGAGUAAGAGCGUAGCUGUUGGGACCCGAAAGAUGGUGAACUAUGCCUGAAUAGGGCGAAGCCAGAGGAAACUCUGGUGGAGGCUCGCAGCGGUUCUGACGUGCAAAUCGAUCGUCGAAUUUGGGUAUAGGGCGAAAGACUAAUCGAACCAUCCAAAUGUC
rnacentral:rRNA from 1 species